rnacentral:snoRNA from 1 species
UUCACAUAUUUUACUACCCAUCUGGAGUACCAGCAAGACCAAUUCACUUCCCUUUGGUUAAGCAAAAAUGGCCGGAUGCAGAGAAAGUUUUAAUCAUCCACUUUAUAAUCUGAAAGAGAUGGUUUCCGUCGCUCUUUCGGUUCGCUUGCUGGACACAUUU